UACGGGGGGAGCAAGCGUUGUUCGGAUUUACUGGGCGUAAGGGCGCGUAGGCGGUCGUGACAAGUCACUUGUGAAAUCUCCGGGCUUAACUCGGAACGGUCAAGUGAUACUGUCGGACUAGAGUACAGAAGGGGCAACUGGAAUUCUCGGUGUAGCGGUGAAAUGCGUAGAUAUCUGGAGGAACACCGGUGGCGAAGGCGGCAUCCUGGACCGACACUGACGCUGAGGCGCGAAAGCUAGGGGAGCAAACGGG
rnacentral:rRNA from 1 species